UGCAAGUCGAACGGUAGCAGGCCCUUCGGGGUGCUGACGAGUGGCGGACGGGUGAGUAAUACGUAGGAAUCUGCCUAAUGGAGUGGGAUAACCUAGGGGAAACUUAGGGUAAUACCACAUUAAGCCUUACGAGGUAAAGCAGGGGAUCGCAAGACCUUGCGCUAUUAGAUGAGCCUACGUCGGAUUAGCUUGUUGGUGGGGUAAAGGCCUACCAAGGCGACGAUCCGUAGCUGGGUCUGAGAGGACGACCAGCCACACUGGGACUGAGACACGGCCCAGACUCC
rnacentral:rRNA from 1 species